UCGGGAAUUUUGGGCAAUGGGGGAAACCCUGACCCAGCAACGCCGCGUGAGUGACGAAGGCCUUAGGGUUGUAAAGCUCUUUUGGCGGGGACGAUAAUGACGGUACCCGCAGAAUAAGCCCCGGCUAACUUCGUGCCAGCAGCCGCGGUAAUACGAAGGGGGCUAGCGUUGUUCGGAAUUACUGGGCGUAAAGCGCACGUAGGCGGAUGUGCCAGUCAGGGGUGAAAUCCCGAGGCUCAACCUCGGAACUGCCUCCGAUACAGCACGUCUCGAGUCCGGAAGAGGUGAGUGGAAUUCCUAGUGUAGAGGUGAAAUUCGUAGAUAUUAGGAAGAACACCAGUGGCGAAGGCGGCUCACUGGUCCGGUACUGACGCUGAGGUGCGAAAGCGUGGGGAGCAAACAGGAUUAGAUACCCAAGUAGUCCCUGAGCGGGCUGGCAAGGCGCAU
rnacentral:rRNA from 1 species